UCCUAAUUAUAAAAUGUCUAAUAAAACCUGUAAGCCAAUCUAAUAUAUAGAAUUUUGUAGAUUCUUUAUAAUCACAGAAAAGGAACAGUUUACAGAUUAUAUUGUGGUGCAAUAUAAUAAUAUUGUAAGUAUUACUCAAAUGAUGUACUGAAGGAUUUAAUUUAUGCCUUGUGUAUCUCUGUCUCCUUUCAGUAGCUGUGAUAGAAGCCAUUGGUCACAUACACUGAAAUAAUUUUUCUAUAAAUAUUUUAUCUAGAGGAAAAAAUUCUGCCUGUAGGUUUGUUUUGUAAUUCUUAGUAUAUGUUAAAUGGUGCUUUUUAAUGUUUGGUUUUAGCCUAUUGUUUUCUUACCCUGUACUCUAUAGUACAUUCUCCAGUCUUAAUGACUGCAUUCCUAUUUCGAUUAGUGUUUUUUUUUUAAGAUUAAUUUAUUUAUUUUAUAUGAGUACACUGUAGCUGUCUUCAGACACUCCAGAAGAGGACAUCAGAUCCCAUUGCACCUGGUUGUCAGCCAUCAUGUGGUUGCUGGGAUUUGAACUCAGGACCUUCAGAAGAGCAGUCGGUGCUCUUAAGAGCCAUCUUACCAGCCCUUGAUUAGUUUUUAGUAUGGAAGUUUGCAUGAGGUUUCAUUUGAAAGUUGGAUUGUGCUUUCUAGAAAUGAUAACCACUGUAGUUCUGAAGUUUGAUCUUACCACUCUACUGUUAACGCAUCAUGAUAAUGUGGCUUUAUUUAUUGUUGUUGCUUGCACUGCUAAUAAGACUUUUCUUUAUCCAGCUCCUGAUUCAUUUUUCAUCUCUUAAUUACUUUCAUUACCUUUCCAUGUAAACUCUGAAUUCUAGUCCUGUAUAAAUUGUUUUCUGCUCUCUGACUGGAAAAAGGUACUUCUGCCUUUGCACAUCAAAUCACCACCAUCCAGUUAGCCAGACUAUUUGAUCCUUUAGAACUUUGGUGAUAUCUCCAGAAAAAUACUUGAUACAUUAUUUUAUAACUAUGACCUGGGAAGAGCAGAAACCAUCCAGUUUACCUUGUUUCUAUAUUGCAUGGUGUUCAUUCAGUAUUCAUAUAGCUACUGAGUGAUUGUAUUCAGAAUUUGAGAGAUAGCAGAACUGCUUUAAUGUAUACUCGUGUGAAUAAAACAUCCAUUCUGUGGAAAGGAACUAGCAAGUGUCAGGCAUUAUGCUAAACAUAAAAAAUGGUACUUAGGAGUACUUACAAAGAAUAAUAAAGCUUAGAGAUUCAUUGUUGGGAAACAAUAGAUUAGAUACUAGAGGUUUCUGAGAUGUCCUAGAGUUAGUCAUCUUAUCCUAAAAUUUGAUUGUGAAAGCACUUUAAUAAUUCUAUACCAUUUUGGCUGCCUGUGAAAUAGUUUUUCAUAAGUGAUUAAAGUUAACAGACUCAAAAGGGAAUUCAAGUGUCAAAGUAUAUAAUAUCCACACUCAUAAAGGUUAAAAAUGGGCCUGAAGCUAUCCAUCUAAAUUCGUUUCCCCCUGCCUGUUAUUAGCUAUGUGAUAUGGCAAACUAUUUGAUCAUUCUCUGCUUCCCUUUCCUCACUUGUAAAAUGAAGAUGAGUAUUACUUGUGAAGAAUAUGUAUGAAUUAAUACAUGUUAAGCACUUAGAAGAAUAUGUGAUAUCAUGAAUACUCCAUACAAGAUAUCAUUUUAAAGAAGUACCCAGUCUCAGAUUUUACUUUCCUCAGUCGGUUUUUCACAAUCAGUUGCAGUCUGAAAAUAUUAAACUGAUAAUUUCAGAAAUAGUGCAUAGGUUUUCAUGCCAUUCUGUAGCAUGAUAAAAUCUUACACUGUCCCAAGAAGGUGUGACUCAUUCUUUUAUCCAGGCAAUGUAUCUGUGCUGUAUCUGCUACCUACUACAGUGCAGGCUGUCUCAUCACCUAUCUAGUAUUGCAGUGUGUUUAGCCAGGCACUAUUACUUUCUCCAUAUUGUGUAGUCAUUGUGUGAUUUCCUAUCACAUGCUAAGAAAAGUACAGUACAAGAAGAUUUAUGUGAGACUACCUUAACAAAUAUUUUAUUACAGAAUGUCACUAUAAGUAUCUUACUAGUUUUUAUCCUUAAUCUUUGCUGUCCCUAAUCUGUAAAUUAAACAUUAUCGCUGGGCGUGGUGGCGCACACCUUUAAUCCCAGCACUUGGGAGGCAGAGGCAGGUGGAUUUCUGAGUUCGAGGCCAGCCUGGUCUACAAAGUGAGUUCCAGGACAGCCAGGGCUACAGAGAAACCCUGUCUCGAAAAACAAAAACAAAAACAAAAACAAAAAACAUUAUCAUCAGUAUGUAUGCAUAGAGGAUAGCAUAGUAUAUGUAAGAUUCAGUAUUUUUUAAUGCAGGUAUCCAUCCACUCAGAGUCUUGGGACAUACUCUCUGAAAAUAAGUUAUAUGUGUGAAGGCUCGUUACCCUGUCUUUAAACAGACCCUUGUUUUGGCAUAUCCACAGCAUAGCUCUUUACUGACUCAUUUCUCUUCUCUUUAGUGGACUAGAGACUAUUCCUGUUAGAUGGAUUGGCGUGGGAGAUUUGAAACUAUGUUGUCUUCUCUAUCCUGACCUAUAUGAUUCUUCAUUGAACCCACAGAGAAGGUGGGAAAAAGGAGUGAGCCUAGGAAUAUGGUGACAAGUUAUUUUGUUAAUUAAUGUUUUUCUUAUAUUUUGAUCAUAUUUCCUCCUGUUUCCCCAUUCCUCUCAGAUCUUACCACCUCCCUACCUACCUAAGUUCAUGUUCUUUUUCUUAUUGUCAAAGCAAAAGAAAAAAAAUUAAAACAGAUAAGCUGGAAGAAAGUUAAUAAUAAAGAAUAACAAAAUAAAAGUGCACACAAAACAAAACCAUGGAGUCAUUUUGCUUUGGUCAACUACUGCUGGACAGUCUAUCACUUGAAUGUGAUUGACAUACACAGUGAUACUCCUUGGGGAAAACUGAUUUUCUCUUUCCCGACAGGUGCCAAUUACAUUGUGUUCACUUCCCCUUCUCAGUUCUGGGAUUUUGCACUGACAAGUUCUUUAACAAGCCUGAGUGUGUACAACCUAAGUCCUAAACUUAGUACUUAAUAGAGGGUAAGUAGAUAGGUAUUAAGCUUUUCAAAUUUUCCUUUGUUUGUCUUGGCUUGGAGUUGUAUUUGUUUCAGAAGCACAUUCAGUUUUAUAAAUGAGUAAAAUGGGUUUUGGAACAACAAAACUUUUUAAAGUAUUUAUACCUGCAGAGGAAAAAAAAAGACAGAUAGGGCUUUAAUAAUUUAUCAGGACUGCAUUCCAUGAUAUCCUGAUAAAUAUUCACAUUUUGGAUACAAACUAAAAACAGUGUUUAGCAUUUUUUUUGUGAUAGCUGAAUGUGUUGAAAACGGGCUGGGAUGUAAAAGUACCCCUAGGUACUUUACAUUGCAUUGUUCAUGACCUACCAGGGAUUCUAGUAUAUAGAACAUAUAUAGGAGUUUGCACACUGAGACUGGGACUAGAAAGUGCUGGAAUUUGAAUAGUAUAAAAACACAAAAAUAUCAGUGAGUGACAACUUUUUAAUGACAGUGACAUUCUAUGUAAUAGUUUAUCACAAAAAAUUUAAUGCUUAUGCAAAUUGGUCACUACAUUAAUAUUGUCUUGUAAUAUAUAUAUAUAUAUGUAUAUGUAUAUGCAUGCUGUAGCUGUCUUCAGACACACACUAGAAGAGGGCAUCAGAUCCCAUCAUAGAUGGUUGAGAGCCACCAUGUGGUUGCUGGGAUUUGAACUCAGGACCUCUGGAAGAGCAGUCAGUGCUCUUAACCACUGAGCCAUCUCUCCAGCCCCUUGAACAUAUUUUUAAUGUUAGCAUUUUUUUCUCAGUGGCCACUUUGAACCUGUUCUUUCAGUCAUUAGAUCGUAUUAAGGGAAAAAACACUUGUAGAAUGAAUGCAGUUUUGACUAAGCCCAUUUCCUCUGUAAAAUCCAAGACACUGAGUUUGUGUUUAGUGUUAUAUAUCCUUAAAAUUUCAUGCCACUUCUAUAGUAUGCCUGUGCAUGUUUAUAAGGCCAGACAGCUCUGUGGUUACUUUGUAAGCCCAGUUCUUAUUCCUCACUGCUGCUGUUCUUGUUUGUGUUUAAUUGGGAAACACCCAUACCAUUGAAAAAUUUUGCAGUGCCUCAAAUGGUUGGUUACAUAGGAAAGUGCCUUAGGUUUAUAAGACCCAACCAGGGUUUAGACUCUUUAGUAGCAGUUCUAUGCCUUCAUCUACCUUCCUUUUAGGGUUUCUCAGUGUUAAUCUUUGCAUCUCGUUGAGAAUUGAUUCCCUUCUAAGUUUCACUUACUCAUCUUUAACAAACUGGAACUAUGUGCUUGAAACUUACUCUUCUAUACAGUAAAUCUUAGAGAGUAUUUGAAGAUGAAUAUGUCCUACUUGAGUCUUUUUUUUCCAAACUAAGUUGGAGAUAUCCACAAUUUUCAAGCCACAUGGUUUACAGACAUCCACAUUUCUGAACUCAUAACAAAGUCUUUUUGUUACUGAACCUCUUAAAAUAUAGAGGUCAAAACUGAACUGACUACUUUAGAUGUGGUCUGACUUAUCACAGAAUACAAUGAAGCUAUUAUCUGGCUCUUGUACUUGUGUGAAUGCAGCUUGAAAUUUGCAUUACAUUUUUGGCAGCAGUAUUACCCUUUGAUCAUAUUGAGCUUAUGGUCAACUAAAGCGUUGCCUCUUUGUCAUGUGAGCUACUUUAAUGUUUCUCUAUUUUACUUGCCAGGUAAUCCUUUGAAAGUGUAGGAUAUUUUAUAGAUCAUUAUUAUAAACAUCUACCCAUAUUUAUCAAGCUUCCUCAGAUUUGACUGUAAAGACAUCAACUGUCUUUGUAAAAAUUAGCACAUUGUCUAUGGUGGUUUUCACAUGCUGGUAUUGCUUUUGUAAUCUUAAUAAAUCAGAAGAGAAAAAUUACUUUCUAUCAGGUCAGCCUUUGGUAGUUACAGUAUAUUAUCAUAGUCUGUUUGAUUUUGGGUCUCAGUCUCCUCUCAUCACUGAUCACUCAUGCAGUAUAAAUUUAGUUCAGCCAUAAAAUGGGAAAGGGACUGGAAAAUCUGGUGUACUGGUAGACAACACAAAUUGCCCUUAUUUUGGUGUCUGUGGCCACAUUCAAGCACAUGUUUUCUAACUUGUGUUUCUGCCAGUGGCCCUUGCCCACUUUGUCAUGGAACCAUAAUGCUUUAUCUAAGAUUUAAACAUUGAAUGUUGCAAUAGAGCGAAAAACCAGUCCUUACCAGACAAAAGUUAUUAGAGAAAUUAAUAUUUGUGUUCAAAGGUACCAUGAUUUUGGAGUCAUUUAUUGCUGUAGUAUGAUUAGAGCCUGAAUAGUGUGGUAAUAAUAUCAUUUAAGAUGCAAGAGGACCAUAAGUAAGACUUAGGGUCUAAAACCAGUAAGCAGUUUUUGGAAGAUGUCUUCAGUUUUCAUGGGUUGUUGGGAAUUAAGGAAAAGGAGUACAUAUUAUGAAAAGGUCUUUAAAUUAGAGGACCUUUCUUGACUGCAGCCUUGCUUCAGGUAUGAAUAACUUAAGUAUGUUUUGAAGCCUGGGUCUUCAGUGAGUCAACAACUCACUGUCAAAACCUCUUACUACCUAAAAAUCAUUAAAUAUGUUUAUUAUUCAAAACAACUUUUAAAAGCAAAUUUGCUUUUUAAUGUUUUAAAUUUUAUUUUUUUGCAAUGUGUGUGUUUGCCUACCUGCGUGCAUGUGUAUGUGUGUGUAUCACAUGCAUGUAGUUCCUGUAGAGGCCAGAGAUGCCAUGGGGUACCCUGGGAUUAGAGUUACAGACAGUUGUGAAAUACAGUGUGGGUGCUAAGAAUCAAACCGUGGUCCUCUGGGAGAGCAGCAAAGGACUCUUAACUGCUGAGCCAUCUCUCUAGCCCUUCAGAACAAGUAUUUAACAGGGUGUAUUAAUACAAAUAGUUAUUAAAAGCCUCCAUCACAAACCUGAUGGUCAGAAUUCACUAAAUAAAGUAGGAAUCUAUCCAGUUGAACUAUUUGUACAAUAUGUCUAUAAAAUGUGAAGUCCUAUUCUAUCCAUUAUACUCUUGAUAUUCAAGUUUUCCAUUGUGUUUGUUCAUACUUUAUUUUACAUUUGAUCUUUCAAGGACAAACUAGGUUGGAAUUCUGUAAAGAAUCUGUUUCCUUACCCUGAGAAGUAAGGAAGAAAAUAGUUGGCUAGAGUUCAGAAGAGGUUGUUUUUUGUUUAGGUUUUGUGGGAGGCGGGGUGAUUUUGUUUAUUUCUUUUGGUGGGAUGGGUGAGACAAAGUCUCCAGGUCUCACUAUGUAGUCUUGGCUGGCCUGGAACUUGCUAUUUAGACUAGGCUGACCUUGAACUAAUAGAGAUUUACCUGUCUCUGUCCCCUGAGUACUGAUAUUCUGAGAUUAAAGAUGUAUGCCACUACUACAAUGCCUGUUUUUUUUUUUUUUUAGGAGAGUUUUUAAAAAGUCUUUGAAACAAUGACAUGAAAUUUUAUGUUACUAUACAUUGUACUGGCCUCUAACAUUCACCACAUUAUCAAAAGGAAUCAUAACCCCCUGGGAGGCUACCAUUCCUGUCAAAGAGUGAGCCUAAAACCACACAAAAGGGCAUGGAAAGCUUGUGUGUUUAAGGACAGUCAGGAAUGAAAAGAAACUAGGAAGCCUAAGACCAGGGAAAAUAUAAUACCAAGAAGAGCAAGUUCCUUGUUAGGCAUUUUGUUGUGUUUUAUUUUAAUCUGGAAAUUCUCAGCACUUCUUUAUUAAUUCUUAGAAAUGAUCAUAUCUACACAUGUCAUUAGUGUCAUAAAAUUUUUUUUCUUGAUCUUCAUGGAGUGUGAAUGAGAUGUCCCUAAUAUGUUCAAGCAGACCCUUGGUCCACAGUUGGUGGUGAUGUUAGGGAGGCUUAUAUGUGGCCUUGAGGAAGGAAUUAUGCCACUGGGGACAGACUUUAAGGAUUAAAAGCCUCCUGCUGCUAAGGUUUAAGUGUAUCAAGAUUCCUUCUACCACUUCUGGUGCUUGCUGCCACUCUUGCCAUCUUUGAUGGUAAUGGACUCUUAACCCUCUGGAACUUUAAGCCCAAAAUAAGCCCUAUCUUCUAAGAGAUGCUUUGGUUGUGGUGUUUUUUGAUAGUACAAAAAGUAAUAAUUCAUAACUAUGAUCUAAAAAAAAUCCAUUUUUAUAAUCUUUCUAUCUUGGGCUUUAAUUUUGUUUGCUUUUUUCUUAAUUUUUCUACUUUAUCCCUUCGUAUUUAUCUUUCUACAUUUAAGACUCUUUUUUGUGUUUAAAAAGACUGACUCAAGAGUGAGGAACAGUUCUGUAAGUCAUCUGCUAAUAAACAUGGCCAAAGGAGCUGAUAAGUAAUUUGAUUUUCUUAAUACUUGUGGCAAGUUUGGGUUGUUUUGUUUUGUCUUUCUUUUUGUCCUAUUGUUUGUUGGUUUUAUUUUAAGAUAGGGUCUCAUUCCAUAUCCCAAGCUGUUUUGGAACUCAUUCUAUACCCUAGACUGACGUCAAAUUCACAGCAGUCUAUUCAUUUAGCUUCCUAAAUGCUAAGAUUACCCACAGGACACACCACAUACAUCUUCUGGUCUGUUUUUCUUUAAACAAAUUUAUUAGCAUUUAAACAUUAUAAAAUAAGCUGCAAGAAUUGAAAAGUGUAACAUUUGAUACACUUUGACAUGUUUAUACCCAUGAAACCACCGGCAGAAUCAAGGUCCUGAACAUAUCCCGCCCCCACAGGCCUCAUUUAAAUCCUUGCCUAUUUCCCAGGCAACCAUUUUUUGUUUUCUUUCACUUUGCAUUUAUUUGUAUGUCUUAGCAUAAGGUACACACACUUCUCUUGCACUAAAUUCUUUAUGCACCAUAACUAUUUUGAGAUUUAUUCAUGCUGUAUUUCUUCAUGUAUCAAUGGUUGCUCUUUUAUUGCUAAGUAGUGUUUUGUUGUGGAUAUAGUAAUAGUUUGUGUAUUCAGUCACCUGCUGAGACUUGUGGGUUUUCUAAUUGUUGACUUUCAAAAGUAGGCUUAUGUGAGCAUCCAUGAAUGUGUUUUUAUAUGAACAUUUGCUUUGGAGUAAAAUGGCUAACUCAUUUGAUAAAUAUAAGUUUAACUCAUGAAUAUUUAGUGUCUUUUCAUAUUUAUUUUUAUAUAUUUUAUGAUGCAUCUGUUUAAAUUAUUUAUCUAUGUUUUUAAAUUUGGAUUGUUCCCUUAAGUUUUAAAGAUUCUUCAUAUGUUCUAAUUAAUCGUUCAUUAGAUUUCACACUUACAGAUAUUUUUGUUAGUCUGCCCUUUAUCGCUUCAUACUCAUUCUGCUCACCUCCUUCUCUGUGUGUAUAAUAACUUUGUGCACACAUACACAUACACACAGAGGAGAUACAUACAUUGGUCAAUGCAUAUGCCAGAAGUGAGCAUCAAUCAUCUGGAGCUACAGGUAUAACUUUUAAGCUGUCCAAGGAAGUUGCUGGGAACUGAACUCCAGUGAUCUGAAAGAGUAGUACUUGCUUUUAACCACAGAACCAUAUCUCUGUUCUCUUAUUUCUUGGCAGAUACUGUCUCUAGUAGAGUUCAUAAAUCUAGUUAUCAAUUUACGAUUCGGUGGAUUAUGUUUUUAGUGUUAAAUCCACAUUUUUUUUUUUUUUGCCCUAGUACAAGAUAACAUGUUUUAGGCUUGUAUGUCGGCUAGUGAUACAUUUUGGGGGUAAAUUUUGUAUAUAAAAAAUGGCAUAAAGGUAUUGUUAUAGUACCAUUUAUCAUUUGUUGGAAAUCAUUCUUGUUUACAUGAAAUUGCCUUUACGUAUUUGUCAACAAUCCAUUGUCUAUGUAUACUAUGUAUAGUAUAUAUUUAGUUCUGUUUUCAAAUUCUGUUCUGUCCCGUUAAGUGUUUGCUAUACUGCAUGGUUGUGCAGUAUUAGUAUUAAAUGUAAAUAUAAUGAGUGUUAGCAUCAUACAAUGUUAGCUCUUUAGUACUUUUUCCAAACUGUUCUUGCUAGUCUGUAUUCUUUACAUUUGAUGAAUUUUAGAAUGAGUUGUCAGGUUUUUGUUUUGUUUUUGUUUUUCUUAUUGGAGAGUGAGACAUGGAGACUCAUGCCUAUAAUCCUACUACUGAGGAGGCUUAAGAUAGAGGAACAAGUAGUUGGAAGCUAGCCUGGGCUACAUAGCAAAUUCUAGACAAGACUGAAGUGAAACUCUGUUCCAAUGGGAAAAUAAAAAGCCUAUUGAGAUUUUGAGUAGGACUCCACCAGCUCUAUAGAUGAGUGUGAAAGGAAUCACACCUUAAACAUAGUGAGUCUUCUGACUCGUGAACUCCGUAUAACACUCUGUUUUUGACUAUCUUAAGUUUUCUUAGCUCCUUUUAAUAUUCUCUUUUCAUCCUAUGAGGAUUAUACUCAUUGUUUUUAACAUAUAUUCUUUAAAAAAAUAAAAGGCUUCUUUUAAAAAAGAACCAGAUGCUAUUUAACCUUUUUCCUCGCUUAUUGGGCCUGUCUGACAGAAAUGACAAGUUUAUUGUUUUAAGAAUCGAGGCUUGUUUGAGUUAUCGUUCCUGUUAUUUUUUUCAAUGUAAGAUUAUGAUAAUAUUUAAAUAGUCUACAAAUUUACAAGAUAGGUAUUUUGGAACUUAAAGCCUAGCAGAUACUUGGCUGAAUUGAUUAUGCUAUUACCUAAAAGGGAAAUGAAAAAUGUUGAAAAAAGUGUCUAAGUUCAUACUUUAAGUAUUACCUUUAUUCCAUCCUUUUACGUCAAUUAAGUCACGUAACUAUUUUUGAGUGCCAGUUUCUUGUAGGUAAAGUAAAAUAAUGCCCAUUUAUGAAGUCACAGUAAAGCAGAUUGUGACGUAAUUUUACAAGGGGCGUAGAAUAGUUAUAUAGAUCCAGUUCCUAUUUUAUUUGUUGUUUCAGUCAACAAUGCUUUACACUGUGUACCUAUUACUUUCCCAGAUUAUGAGAUGAUAGGAGUCAAAAACAUCAGGCAAGCAUCCUACUUUCAUCAAGCUUUUAUGCUAGCAUGCAUGAGAGAGGCAUAAGAAAACUUGGGAUGAUGUAGACUGCGUCAUUUUUGAAUCGGAGAGGGAGUUGUGGGAAAGAAUGAUUAAGAUCUGCCAUGCAGCUGUGGGGACACGAAGGCGGAAUCUGGAACAUGUUUAGACUUUUUUUUUAAUUUUUCAUUUUUCUCUCCCUUAUAUGUUUCUACCAUAGGUUUCUCCAUAUAGAGUCCAUAGGUUAUAAUUUCUUUUUUUUUAAAUUUCAUUUUCCAUUUCUUAUAUGUUUCUGCCAUAUACUACCAUACAGUACCUUUAGAUCUUGGUGCAUGUGACAGGGGUGUGUCUCCCCUGGGAAAUCCUCGAUCCCAAUAGGAUCGCAGCUAAAAAUUAAAUCGGAAAUGAAACUGAAA
rnacentral:lncRNA from 1 species